CUUCUUCCUUCCCCUCCCCCUUCCCCGUUACCUCUGCCUCCCAGCAGCAACUCCACCAAUGCCACCUUCCGCCACCCCUCUCCUCCCUUUCCCCUUCUCCUCCCCUCUGCCCUUCCCCCGUCACUGCCCUCUGCCUACCAUCCCUUUCCUCUCCCCUCUGCAUCCCUUUCCUCCCCUCUCCCCCGCCACCCUCCUCUGCCCGCCAUCCCCUCUGCCCACCACCCCCUCUGCCCUUCCCCCUCCCCUGUUCCACCAGAGCACCUUCCCCAUUCAAAAAUGGAUCCGGUGCCGACGAUAGUAUCCCCAGAUUUUGACCCAUUUCAAAACUAGUUCCUUCAAGAAUUUCCAUCAAAUCUUCAGCAAAAUCAGAACCAACCCAUUGCUGUCUCUCUCUUUCCUUUUCCAACGGGCUAGCUUUCUCCACCGAAGCUAAACGGGCUGCCAGAGAGAGGUUGCCUGCGGCAGUUGGGGUGUUGCCUGGACGAGGAGAACGGCCGGUGAGACGUUGGACCAAGUUCAUGAAGCCAGGUAUGGGGGAGGAAACGGUGGUGGUAGUGGGUUGGGAUGGGGUGGAAGAACGAAAAAAGGGAAGGGAAUUUUUUUGUGUGUUUUGGAAAUUGUGAAGUGUGGAGGUAAAAAACUUUGAUAAGUUUUUUGGGGUUACUGUAGCAAAAGUUGUUAAAAAACUAAUAGGUAAAAAACUUGUCCAAAAACCUGGCUUCCAAACAGGACCUUAAUUAGGAUCCACGACGGAAUUAGAAACCUAUUUAAUUUAAUUUAAUUGUAUAAACUCUCCAAAUAUUUUAUGAUAAAAAAUCUUUCCUUCAAUUAUCUUACAAGGAAUAAGGGUUUUUCCUCUGUGCUCAGGACAUUCUUGCAGCCAAUUAUUGGUUAUUGUUGCAUUAUUUGCACACACAGGUAGUAGCAAGCGCGUUCUGAUUAAAGAUUAUUUGAAACAUUUUCAUAUGUAGUAUCACACUUUUUUGUGAUGUCAUAUAUGUAUUGUAUGUAUAAAGAUGGUGAAAAAACUUGUUUUGCAAAUAGUCUGCAUGCAGUAUUGCUUCGAUAAUUGUUCAAUAACCAUUUUUGGGCUCAAACCAAAAAUUCUUCAACUCAUUCCAUUUCUCUGAUUUGGUGCAAAUGUAAUUGCCGUUUAGUCCCUUCCAGCUCUUGGUCUUUGGGUUGGCUUUGGAAUAUAGCCCAAGUUUGGACGGGGUUUAGUCGGAAACCCUCUUAGUGUGCACCAAAUUUUAGCUAGAAGUUCUAAACUAUUCGGCCUACCAACUCUUUACGUCGCAUGUGUUAGUAGGGGUGCAAACAAAUCACUUAAUCUGAGUAGUUCGCGAAAUCAAGCUCGAAUCUAAUAUAUGAAAUUUGAAAGUUACGUAUAUGUGUGUGUAUAUAUAUAUAUAUUAGUAUGAAAUAUCUAUUUUGUUUCUUGUUUAAAAUUAUAUAAAUAUAAAUUUAUAUUUCUUAAACUCUAUUAAGGUUGAUUAUGUUCAAUUGAACUCGAAUUAUAUUCGUGUUGCACGAGUUCGAGUUCAAACUCAAGGCGAAACAAAUUUGAGCUUGAAUUUGAAUUCGACUUUCAAAUGCUCGAUCUUGAGAUCAAAUCUAAAUUUUUUAAGUCGAGUCGAUCUCACUACUCGAAUUCGAUUCAACUCGAUUCCAUCUCCAUGUGGCACUAAUCUCAAGUCCAAAAUGAAAACUCUAGUACCAGAAGGUGGCUCAAAUUUUUUUUUUUGAAGAAUAAAUAAAGAAAUGGACAAAAAUAUUCUAGUACCAAAGAUUCGAGAAUUAAUAUUUCUAUAUACUAACAAUGUAUACAUUUUCACUAAUUUAAAUUUGAAUUUCAAAUCCAAAUUUUGCAGGCCUAUCAUACAUCCAAUCGCGAUAGUGUGUAAAUUGUCAAUUUAUAUAAUAUUAACUCAAGUCUUUAACUCUUUAGUUGUGCUCAAGCUUAAGUCAUAUGGACAACACUACCAAAAGUUGAGGCAGCCGAAUCAUACGUGUAUUUCCGAAAUUGUAACUUUGUCAAGUGCGAUUUUGAAAUCACAUGAUCAUACAAGUGGGUCACAUCUUUUAACAAAAAUGCAUGAUUAGUUCAGCAUUAACAACACAAUUUUUAAUAAUACCCGUACGUGCAACAAAAAUGAAAUGUGUUUAUCCUAUUAUAAAGCUGUUUCCUAAGCAGCAAUGCUUAAUUUUAAUCAAAUCGAAUGCAUGAUGAUUGCACGUGCACCUCCUUUAGAAUCUCCUCAUUUGACGGCCUGCAUUGCUGGAACUCCAUCGAUGUUCGUAGAGCUGCGUGGUGACUGCUACGGGGUUUCGCUACACCUCCAACCGAAUGAUUGGACUAAAAAAAAAAUUAAAAAAAGAAUAAAAGGAGCUGAAGAUUGAAGAAUGGAUCUAAAAGCUUGACCCUGGGAUGCGCACGUGUGACCGGAGGAACAUGACACGUCUAUCUUGCUGUUGCCGGGUCAGCACGUGCAAUCCACCUUGCAAUCUUGAUAUCAAUGCACGCGUCACAUGAACAGGGAAUGUUGGAGGACGUUUCCUUUUUCUUUUUUUUUCCUUUUGAAACAUCAUCCGACGUGUAACGUCAGCUCAACUCAAUCCAGUUUAAACCGUUAAUCCACUUUACAAUUGUAAUGUACAAAAAUAAGGUCAUGUUUGUACUGUAUUUUCUGAAUUUUUUUUAUAGAAAAAUUACUGUAACGAUUUAAUAUAUUUGAGGUAAAAAAGGGAUUGAAAAAUAUAUUUACAAAAAACGUAACAAAUUUUCUUUUCCAAACAAGGAAGAUUGAGUGGACUAAAGCGACGGAUUGCUAAUCUGUCAUGCGAGUUAUUCAUACCGUGUGUUCGAAUUCCUCUCUUUUUGUUUUUGUUGAUGACUUUUAAUUUUUUCAAAUUUUGCAAAUCUUUUUCUCUUAUUUAAACAUAAACUACUAAGAAAAAGAAAAUAUAAAAAAAUCCCUUUUAUUCUUCACACCCAAGAUUACAUCCGAGAUCAUUAGGUAGGAAUUCAAAAAUGAAGAGAGAAACAAAAAAUAUCACUACUGUGUAAACGAAGAGCUUGAGAGUAAGCAUUACACAAUCUCCAAAAUAAAUUUUUGACAAAAAAAAAAAAAAACAGAGAAUAGAUCCUCCAUUUUUCUAACAAGAAUGUUGGGGAUCGUUUCCUUUUUUUCUUUUAAUUAUUGUUUUCGAUAACAUGUAAAAUCAACUCUGACCAAAUUAGACCAUUAAUCGUACUUUGCAAUUGUAUCAAGUAAUCAAGUGUGCAACAUCUUCAUGUAAUCUAGACCGUCAAUUGUAGUCUGCAGUUGUAAGCAGGAACCAAGUCGGUGAAGAAGAGUCUCUCCAUUCAGCCACAUUGGUCAAGCAAAUGGUUGGUGAUUAGACUCUUUAGGAUCUGAUGUAUUACUAAGCUUCUCAAAUAGAUGGUAACUAGACUUUACAAAUCAUAACAUUUGCAAUCCAACAAGAGCUAUAUGUUCGUCAGGAAGUUGAGUUGACAGAGUAGCUUUUCAUGUAAAGAUGGACUUGAAAAAAAUCUUGCAUUGGCAAAUGGUCUUUUCUCGAUUACUGUUCAAGAAAUGAUCCUCUCCAUUAUUGUUUCACGGGUUAAUUCCACUUUGUCCCCCCAAACUUUGGACGAUUACCCACUUAAGUCCCUAAACUUCAAAAUGGGACACUUAAGUCCCUAAAUUUAUAAAUACCUCCCACUUAAGGAAAAUUGUUAACAAAUCAUGAAUGCCGUUGGUGGUCGAAGUGUCCCAUUUUAUGAGGGUUUAGGGAUUAAAGUGUCCCUAUUUAUAAGUUCAGGGACUUAAGUGGGAGGUAUUUAUAAGUUUAGGGACUUAAGUGUCCCAUUUUGAAGUUUAGGGACUUAAGUGGAUAAUCGUCCAAAGUUUGGGGGGACAAAGUGGAAUUAACCCUUGUUUCACAUGCAAUGCUUUCUUCGAACAGUUGAUGGGCGGGUAAGGUGCUUCAAUAGAAGCGACACUUAAAAGUUUAUCGUCUCAAGAGUUGUAUAAACAAUAAUGUACCCCUUUUACUUGUUUUACAUAGAUAAUUACUAUUCAGUUUGACUAACGGGUGUUCAUAGAGCACAAAUUAAGAUAUAUUUUAAAUAUAUAUUUUUAAAAUACAAGAUUAAUUAAAAAAUAAUUAAAUAUAAAAAAGGAUAAACAAAAUUAAAUAGAAAAAAUAUAUAGAUACAAGAGAAGAUAAUAAUUAUUAAUAUGUGUGUAUAUAUAUGAUAGAUUAGACUAAUACUAAGUAUGUUAAUGAAUAUUUUAAGGACAUUCGUUAGAAAAAUUUAUAAUUAUGUUAGGGUUAGUUUUUGUACGGAAUGAACUUGGUUUAGAAAGCGACCAUCUUUAAUUUGUGACAGCAAAAGAAACAAAAAUAUUCCACCACAUUGUGAUUCUUGAAGAUAUGCAAAAUAUUCCUUUUUUUUUUUUUGUCGACACGAUAGAAUUCCUAUAACCUAAACUAACCUAUUCUAGAGGGGAAGGGGAGGGGACUCGAUGUGAGUAGAAACUCCAUCGAAACUGGUCAAAGAAGACCGUCACAUAUUGUGAUAAAUUUUGUGGGAGGUAAGGUUCGAACCCUUGACCGGGAUGACCACUGGACGAAAGGCCUAAUGGCAUAUGCAAAAUAUUCCAUCCAUCUGAAUAUUUGUGUAGGGUUCAGAAUUCUGAGGAUGAAAAUUGAACCCAAUCCAAAAAAGCCAAAAUGGAACCAAACAAAAUACUACUAGUUGGGAGAUUGGGGCGAUUAUCACGUGACCUUCACAUGGAGACGCUCUAGCAAAGCCAUGAUGUUUCUUUCUUUCUUUCGGUGUACGGGGAAUUAAUGGGUGAUGUGACCCUUCGAUUACAUAACAACAUCAAUCAAUCAAUCAAUCAAUUAUUAUUUGUGGGUCGCUGCCACGUGCGCGAUGAUAUUGUUGCACACGGCCAUCAUCAUCCCAAUCAUUGAAUAUCAAUCCCCCCAUCACUGAUAACAAAAUUCAUCCUGAAAAUUUGAUGCUGAUAUUAAUUUAUAAGCACUCCUAAAGGUCUUUUUAAUCUUUCUUUGAGGUCUUUCUCUGGUUGUUAGGGAGGUGAUCUAAAAGAAAUACACAGACAUUUUCUACUACUCAUAUUUCAUUGGAACGGCUUAUUACUAUAAGCUUUUAGAAGCGGGUUUGUUUGGAUUGUAAGUUAUUUGGGAUUAUUUGGGAUAUUUUUACUAUAGCACUUUUUGUGAUGUGAUAUAUGUGAGAUAAAAAGGAAAUUGGGAAGAUAAAAAGGUGUAUUGAAAAUUGUAAUGAUGAUGUAAGCAAAUAAAAUUGGGUAAAUAAUGCUCAAUCCAAACAAACCCUCGUAGAUUGGAUAGUGUUGUGGAAAGAUCUUGGUGAAGAAAGAGAAUUUCAUGGUCUAGGAGUCUGUCAUAAGAAACGCUAGAGUAUUAUUUUAAAUAAUUAUUUGAAAUAAUUACUGUAAUACUUUUUGUGAUGUGAUGUAUGUGAGAUAAAAAGAUGACUGAAAAUAUAAAAAAGUGAAUUGAAAAAUAUGUUUACGAUGCAAACGAAAAAUUUUUUUAGAAAAAUUAUCUAUCCUAACAUAGCCAGUACUAGUUACUAUUGCAUUGAUUUUUGACGUAGUACUUUUUUUUUUGUCAGCAACGAUACAUUUGUAUAACCUAUUUUAUCCUAAUCUAGGGGGAGGGGGAGUCUAAGGAGGCUGUGAUGGGGGGCUAGUAGGUAUACAGACCCAACUAGCCCAAUGAGGGAUUUAAGCCCCUCCCUGGUGGCCACUGAGCCAUUGGCCCAGUGGUUAUUUUUUACGUAGUACUUGAUUUUGCCAUUUUAAGUUGGCGACCAUAUUUAAUAGAUCAACCUACUUAAUAACUUUUAUUACUUUUAUUAGGUUUUGUCAUUCAUGACAAGUUUCAAUUAAAAUGUCUUUUAUCUUUCCCAUCACAAGAGUCAGUAGUCGAGGAAGACGUUAAUGAUAUUCGAUAGCUACCUUUGAAGAAGAUCCACUGACCACUGUCACUAGCUAAUUAGUAGUAAAUUUGCAUAUCUACAAGAUAUAAAAGUACCAAGCGUGGGUAAUGUUUCAAUUGCAAUUGAUUGUGGACCGGUUAUUGGUGUAAUAUUGGCCAAUUCAAGGGCAUUUUCGUUAUGUUAAUGGUUUAUGAGUUGUACAUUUGUUGGUGAUUGCAUGGUGUUACAUUAGAUCGGUUAUUGGUGUAAUAUUGGCCAAUUCAAGGAACUAAUCAUUCCUAAUUAGAAUUAGAAAUAUAUGAUAUAAAAUCAAAUAAUAUUAUAUAUAUAUAUAAGUAUAAAAAAGAAUUCAAAAUGUCAUUUGAAUUCAAAAAUGAAAAUUUUAACUAAUUUAACUAUACUAAAACUAUUUACUAUCGAAUAGUAGAUGAUAAUUAGAAUUUAAUCGACUGAUAAAAAAUCAAAAUUCUAUAUCGCUACAUUAAUCAUUGUGCUUUAUAAUAUUCAAUAAUUUAUUUAAAAUUAUAUUUUAUUCUUUUCUAGAUCCAUAUCGAUUAUGAAUAGAUAAGAAGUAAUAGUUACUAACUAAGAUUCUAAUAGUUUAUGGAAUUUCUAUCCAUAUAAAAUGGAUAUUAUAUGAGCCCAAAAAAAUAGGAUAACUCAUAAAAGAAUUUAUAACAUAUCAAAGGAACAAUAAAAAAUAAAACAAAAUAAUCUUUACCAAAUUAUCAGCAAAAACAUAUCACUAAAAACUUCUGCCCAUAGUAAAACUAUUUACUAUCUAAUAUUAGGUGAUAAUUCGAAUUUAAUCGAGUGAUAAAAAAAUCAAAAUUCUAUAUUGCUAUAUUAAUUGAUGUGCUCUAUAAUAUUCAAUAAUUUAUUUGAAAUUCUAUUUUAUUCUUUUCUAGAUCCAUAUUGAUUAUGAAUAGAUAAGAAGUAAUAGUUACUAUCUAAGAUUCUAAUAGUUUAUAGAAUUCCUAUCCAUAUAAAAUGGAUAUUAUAUGAGGCCAAACAAAUAGGAUAACUCAUAAAAGAAAUUAUAACAUAUCAAAGGAACAAUAAAAAAUAAAACAAAAUAAUCCUUACCAAAUUAUCAGCAAAAACAUAUCGUUGAUAACCUAUUAACGCCACGGCGAACAAGACUCUUCUCAACAAGAACAACCUGGACAACCCAACCGCGAAACCCAUCAUUCAAUUGAUUGAUAGAUACUAAAUUCUGUUCCAUAACAAUAAACCACAAAGCAAAAAAAAAAAAAACCAAAACUAAUUUCUCCAAACCAAACAGCCCACGCUUUUAUAGCGGCAAAAACAAAAACUAAUUAAUAUCCAUUUAGGCAUAACAAGCCUAAUACAAUUAAUUAUCUCUCUUGUAAGUAUAUUUACUCCAAAUUCAAUGACAAAUAUAUCAUUAUUAUAGACAAUUAUUCGCACGCACAUGCACAUGAAUUUCCAUUUGGAAACCAUUACGUGGGUUGCAUUAUAAAUAGAACCCUAAAAUUAUACAUGCCAAGCUUAAACCUGGGCAUUGGCGUGGCACCCAAAAACUAGUAUUUACAAGUACGUGGGAGAUUUUGGGAUCCCUUUUAAGGAUUAUAGUUUCAAGUUAAAAUCAUCGUUCGAUAAUCGAUAGUGAAAUAAGUAUUUUAAAUUCUUAGAUUGUAUUAAUUUUCAUCAUUUAAAAUUUGAAUAACGAUCGUCCUUAAAGAGAAAAUGAGCGAGUAGUUCCCUCAGGAGAUCAGAGAAGUAUUUCAAAUAGGGUUUUUUUAACACACCUGACAUACAUCUAACCUACCAUAUAUCUACACAUACUAACAUUAUUAUUCUCCUUUGUAUUUAUAUAUUUUUGCAUAAUUAUUAUCAUCUCUUAUAUUUAUAUAAUUUUCCUAUUUAAUCUUAUCUACUCUCUUUUAUAUUUAUUUACUUUUUAAUUAAUCUUAUUUUAAAAAAUAUAACACUUGAUCUUAAUAUGGCACUCGUUAGACAACUGUUCCAAAUAUGAAUGUAAUGCUGAACAAAAAAAAUGUUGAGAAAACCUUAGGUCUAAUGGUUCAGAUAGAAAUUUCAAAAUUUAGAGAUCUUGUGUUCUAAUUUUUUUCCCUUUAUCGCUUCUUAAAUCCCAUUUUUAUCAUUUUUAAAUUUUUUUUAAAACAUAUCUUGGCAUUAUGUGAAGGGCAAUUUGAAUAAUAAGAACAAAGGGCAUUUUGAAUAUUGUUACGGAACAUGUCAAGGAGUAGAGAAAAUCAUGAAAACGCCAAGCAUUUAAAUAAAAAGGUAUUUGCAUGUACAUUAGAAGGAAGAUCCACUAAUCCAAAUAACCUUUUAUGGUUGUAGAACUAGUAGGACUCAACACUUUCUAUAUGAUACUAGAGUUUCAUCUGGCAAGAGCGGUCGAAUACAAAUUGAUGUGUGUAGAUUUUCUUCAAAAUGCAUUGGAAAAAUAAAGAGAAGAAUAAAACGAUUAAGUAAAUGAUGUAAAUAUGCUCCCGUCGUUGAAAGGAAAGGAUAGAAAUAGAAAGGAAGUUUGAUGAUCGUCAAAAAAGAAAAAAAAAAAAAAGGAAAGGUAAUAGGAAGGGGAGACUAAUGAUUGGAGAAGAUUGGAUGUAGGUGGAGAGGAGACAAGAUGACACAAAACAAGUCGGGAAUGGGACCAAGCGUGUCCCGUCACGCCUAUCGAAAAUCUAUUUUCAACAUAUUGAAACGGUGCCUCAGCCUGAGCCCGGGCUGUGGGCACGCACACGGCAGUAAAGUCCACACUCACGUGAACGCUGCCUGGUUUUCCUCAUCUUUACUCAACUCAAAACCCUACUUCCCACGUGAACCCCCAGCCCCAUCCCCAUCCCAGUCCCCUCCUCUCCUCCAUUCAUUCCAGAUUCCUCAUUCCUCCCUCCCCUCCCCAUGUUUUAAAAAAAAAAAAAAACUGGAUCUUCAUCCUUCUCCUCCUCCUGCUUCGGCUUCCAAUUCCAUAAGAAUGUGCAACCCUUCAUCUACUCUGACAAAAAAUGUCAAGCUCCAAUCGUAAUCGGCUUCAUUAGGUACCAAAAAGAAAAAAAAAAGUGGCAAAAUUUUACAAAAUAUUAUCCACAGUCGACUUUAACAAAUAAUUACCUAGAUGAAUAUAUAUGAUCCGUCCUUUCGCUAAUUAAGUCGUGUUGUUGCUAAUUAAUAACAAAAAAAUAUAUGGUCCUGCUUUCUACUUUCCUUUGAAUCUAAAAUGUUAAUGCUUGAGCUAAAGUUGGAGGCACUCCCACCAUGCUAAUUCUAUAGCAACUGAAAAUGAAAAUCAUUCCAAAUGCAUGUCUCAGAUUGCAAAUUGAACAUGCCUGCAUGGUUAUCGACUCUGAGUCUUAAGCCUACACGGAUGCAUGCGAAAGCCUGCAUGGCAUAGUCGUCGAAAUUUUUUUUAUCGUAACGAUAACUGUUGUAUAAUCUAUUCUAAAUAGUUGCCUGGAUAAUUAAGUUACUUUGUGUUUGUUUCCUUCUUUGAAGGAUGAUCGUACAAUUUCCCAGAUUGAGGUGGUGCCUUGUGAGUGUCUUGAGCUGUGAGCUACUGAGCUACGUGCUAAUGUUUGUUUCCUUUCUUAAUUUCUUCCUUUUUUUCUCCCACAUUACUCCAAUAUAUAUAAACCCCAAAACCCUACAUCCCCAAAAAGAAAAAAAAAGAAAAAGAAAAAGAGGAGGUGUGAGAUAAGUCAUAUGGCUGUCACCUGCAAGCUGGUAUACUAGCUAGUACGGAUUUGAAUGGCAGAAUGAUUCAAGAAUUCGUCUGAAUAGUUGCAUACAACUAUAUUUGCAGGAACAAAAAGAAAAAUAAGAUCUCUCGGGAAGACACGAUGAUCAAUGGCGCCAUACGUGGGAACAUUCGAUCGUUAACAGGUGUCUAUGCCAAUUUGCCGAUUAGUAUAUCUGUGCUAUUCAGUUAUCAUCCGAAGCUGAUGAUACAUAUUAUAGUAAUCUCUUGUCCCAUGGGAUGAGAUUUUUUUCCUUUAUCAAUAUACCAUCCCCUCAAGUUAGUACAUUUUAAGAAGCUUAAUUGAUUAAUUGCUAAUUAAUUUAGGACCUGAGCAUGAAACCAAAGUCAUUAUGAUACAACAAAUCAACAGUACUAAAAGUUACAGUCGCACAGAGAUUGGUGCCAUUUUGAUUGUGAGUUUUCGUGGAAAAUUAUUUAAAAUGUUCUUUUACAUUUCUCAUAUGCCUGUUUAUUUCGAAACAAGACCUUAAAAUUGAGAAUGUGACAAUAAAACCAAAAAGAAAGCAAACCCAUAUUCUUAUUCUUAUAUUAUAUAAGAAUGAAUUGUGGUCAAAGGGGGUUUGAAUUUUAAUCGCAUGAAUAUGAUUUUUUGAGAAUAUGAAAUGUUGUGUAAUUUUUUUUAAACUUUUGGUAUAAAUAAGGGUAGCAUGUGUUUAGUUAUAUUUACCGAAAUGUCCUCAUUUUGAUACAUUUAAAAUUUGAUUUAUGGAGACAUCUAGAUAUUUCUGUAAUAUUGAAUUAUUUUGCAAUCGUUUUUGCAUCGAGUACAACUCAUAUAAACUUAUGUGUUGGUGUAAUUAUUGAAAUGGUGUUAUAGACACGUUUAAUUGAAGUAUGGCUUUUAUUGUGUAAUUAACACAAAGACAUAUCAACACAUUGUGCAAUUAACACGUUACUAUAACUAGACGUUAGAGGGUAUUCCUUUGCUUGAAACAACUUAUAUCUCUUCUUGGACGAUUUUCAACUGACAUCUUAGGAGUUUUUUGAGAAUUAUAAAAUUAUAAAAAUAUUGAUAAAAUAAAAUGUACAAGUAUGUGAUACAAUUAAAAUGUACUAUUAUUAAUUUUAUCAUAAUUGAUGACUAUUUUUUUUCAAAAUAUAUAUUAUUUAUUUAAUAAAAAAUUCUCCUUAGUAAUGGACACCAAACGUCCGGCCAUAUGCGGCCAAUCUCCCGCUAGUAUUAGUGUAUGGUUUGACUUGCAAAAGAUAAAAAGGGGAAGUAAAGGAGUAAAUUACUUUAGAAAAAGGAAAAGGUGAAAGGAGGAAAAAGAAAGCAAGAGCUGCCAACAUCAACGCGUGUACCGUAGAGCCCGACUUAGCGAGUGUGAAUGGAUAAACUGGAUCAAAAUUAUGGGAAAUGAUUCAAAGAAAGAGUAUCCAAUGAUUGUACAGAGAAGUGUGUCGGGUCAACACUCGACAGAGUGACACGCACGAGGGGUAGGAGUUUGGGUCCGACGUGCUGCCACGUGGGCAUGCAUUUGCAUGCUUGCGCACGUGAAGCUCUGCAGCUUUCCUGCUUGACCUUCUCUCUUCUUUGUCCCUCUCUUACAUCCUUUUCACUCAGAACCAGCUCUGCCCCUUUGGUAUAGCUUGUUUUGACCUGUUUUUAACCCCAAAAAAAAAUAAAAUAUAUAUAUAUAUAUAUAUAUAUUUGUUUUUUCACUUCAAAUACGUUUUUCAACUAUAUUUUUAAUUUAUACAUUUUCCAAUUAUGAAUUUUAUAGUGAGAGUUCUUAAAAACAUCUCAAAAAAGGACCAUCAAAAUGCAGUUGUAAAUUUUCUCAGCUAUAUGACAAAUUUGAGCAAUGCUACAUACAUAUGGAUGACAAUUUUUAGAAUAGUUUGUACAAAAAUAUUGCCUUCAUUUGUUUGCAUUACGUUUCAAACAUUCUAAACUUUUAUCAUUUUCUCCGAUCAUCUUUUUAUCUCGAAUACUUUUCCCUAUAAAAUUGCUAGAACAUCCAAAAACCAUCACCUGAAUGGAACCAAGAUCUUCAGAUGGGUUAUUUUUUUUAAAAAACAUUAAUACAUUUUCUAGCUAUUUCUUAUCUUAAUGCACUCUGUACAAUCAAGUCAUAAGUAGACCAUUCUUCUUUUUUUUUUUCUUUUUUGUAAAUGCAUCCAAGAAAUGGUAAUGUAAAAUGAUUUUGUCAUACAUUGUAGAAGUUUUUUAGGUAAAAAGGUGGUUGUAAAAAUUUUUUUUUUUUUAGAAAAUUCACAAACCAAAUGGAUCAUGAACCUACAUGCAACUUCUCGCUUUAACUGACGAGCCAAAUAAAUAGCUAAUUGAGAUUUUUAUUAACGACCAUGAAUUAUAGUCACAUAUAUUGGCAGGCGGAGGGAGUUACGAUUGACCACCAAACAACUUUCUUGAACGUAAGCUUGACAGAUACAUUAUAGAAAAAUAGAGAUAAAGAUAUUUUAUGAUGCAUUCAACAUAGAUUAUUUAUUUACAUAAUUCAACUAUUAUUUUAAUUUUUUUCAGUAGGGAAGUAGGACUUAAGAGGCGGAAUCGAAUAACGGAUUUGAAAUUAGAACCUUUAAUUCUGGGGGUCUCAAAAGUGGUCCAAAAUUUUGAGUUAUUUUGAAAAAGGAAGUUUUGAGAAUUGGAAGGAUAAUUUUAGAUGACUUUAGAUUAUUUACCCUUGAUCAUCUUUAGUUUGAUGGUCCUAAAGUCACUUUAAGCCACCGUUUCAUUUUCGACGGUGACUUUAAAAAUUUCUAUUUUGAGAAAAAUAAAUAAUUUGGUCUAAUUUGGAAUGUACCAAUAAACACUGGAUUAUAUAGAUGAAAAAAAUCCUGUUAAACACCAUUUAAAUGUAAGGGCAACUUUCAUCAGAGUCUAGCUGGAAUUAAACUCAAAUAGUUUGAUAUUUUUACCUAUAAAUUUUAAUUUUACACUAAUCGAACCAAAAUUAAAUUAAAUUUAAAAGCUUAUCAAAAUUUAAAAUAUUAUUUAAUUUAACUUGAAUAGUUAACAAAUUAAAUUCGAAAAACUCUUACCCAAUCAAAAUCGAUUUGAUAUAAAGUAGUAUGAUUUAUCUUUUAAGCCUUGCUCGCUAGGUGUUCCUCCCGUCUUUUCCCCAAGGAGAAAAAUUGGGCUAUGUGACUUCUUGGCAAUGAAUUACUUUCUUUUUUUUUUUCUUUUUUUUUUUUUGGGCAAUGAAUUACAGAACGGCACUAUUUUGUUCAACACAAUUAUGGGCUCUUCAAUUCCUCGCUUUGAUGUAGUUCAUGGACAUUAGUGCAGACCCUACGUGUCUCACGCGCAUUUCACAUCGCUGGGCCCACUUUUUGUGGUACUCCAUAGAGCCCCUGUUUCUGUUUAGCUUAUUAUUUUCACAAGCUUUGGAGCGGCGCGUGGAUUGAAGAUCGUGCAGAUUUGCCUGAUGCCUCUCACGGAGAAUCAACUCAGCCAGCGGUCAACGAUAGAAAAAGCUGCUUUGCAACGAGAAGUUACCUGUAGAGACUUGAGAGAUUUCCCCAGAAAAUGAGAAAAGUAAAAAGACAAUUAAAAGGUUCAAAAAAGAAAAAAAAAAAAAAAAAAAACGACAAAGAAGAGAAGUUUUCUAAGGCAACAAAGGACAAAGAAGAAGUUACAUUUUACGUACUUUCAUUACCUCAAAAAAAAAAAACUGUAACAUUCAAGUUUCCGACCACAAUAAGUAAACGAAGGAGCAAUUGCCUUUUGAGUUGAAUUAAGAAUUAGGUUUUGAGGGUGCUCACCUCGGCAGUACCUUGUUGCCGAGGUGACCUCGUUUCGUCUCCUACACGAACACAGCCAUUCCCCGAUCCGGACCCUGAGCUCGGCUCGGUCCAUGGUCUCCUACUUGGAUGACCUCUGCACCCCUGGCUACCACCUCGGCUAGACGCUGAUGAUGUCAACACCCCUGACAACGCCCAGGACCAGUGCUUUAUCUGAAAAGCACUGGGUGAUCUUAAUGACUACUGCGCAUGACCCCGUCAUCCAGCCCAGGCGGCUACAGUGUCAGAGUCAGGCCUCCUGGCAGGGAACAGAGCCGUAAUGUCAGGACGUGGGUCCCACCAGCAUGAACCCUCCGUCCUGACCUCCACUCCCACUCUAUAAAUACCCCUCCUGUACAUUUCGCAAGUAAGCAUACUGUUCAUUUGACAAUACUACUGCUUUUCUCUCGUUCUCAUACUAACUUGAUCGUCGGAGUGAUCCCAGGGGAAAGUCCCGCCAUUCACUUCGGACACGAGGAUACACCUCACUUCAUCUCAGAGGAUCUGAUUCUGGUCGGUUCAAUUACCCACCAAAAAUCACCUCUUCAGGUUUAAAAUUUUUUCCUCUCUAUUGUUGGAAAAAAAAAAAGAGGAAAAAAUAAAAGUAAACGAAGGAAUAUAUAUUAAAAAAAAUUAAAAAAACCAAUAAUGAUGAUUUGGUUACUUUAUAUUCACAAUCACAUGAGUAUUUUUACCUGCAAUAAGAACCUUCAAAUGAUCAGAUUUUAGAGGGAGACAGGUACUAAAAAUUGAAGUUAUUUUCAUUCUUUAGAUGGAUUAUUUCAACACCAAGUAAAUUUCAAUAUGGUAAAUUCAGCAAUAGAUUAACCAUUUGCAUCACUAUUUACAUGAUCUUAUAAUUAUGCCUUAUUUUCAUGCUUUUUUAAAAAAAAAUUUUAGUGUAAGUGGAAUAGUUUGAAACCGAAACUCUCAUUUACAUCCCGUCUGUAUCACCUAACCCAUCUGUCCCCCAAUUUCAUGCUUAUUGACGAUUAAAUCAGUUUUUCUCAUACAUAAGCUUCCGCUGGCAUUAGGGGAAAAAAAAAAGAGCUCCCGUUGGGUCUGCAAAACCCAGACAAAAAUGGACUAUAGAUCUUGAAGAUGAUAAAAUUGAAAUUUGGAAAAUGCUAUGGUUUUUAUCAAUACUUAAAAAAUAGGAGCCUUAUAGAUUGAAGCCGCCUAUCCAUAAAAAAAAAAAGCAAGAUAAAGAAGCAUGUCCAAAUUCACGUGCCAUUACAAAUUCAAAGUUUCAUUUGUGGACAUAAGAAGCCAUUUUGUUUUGUUUUUCUUUCUCACUCCCAUGGAUGCAUGUUUGCUUUUAUCAUGCUACUAUUAACUUUAAUGGAGUGAAUUCUAGGUUAAUUUUAAUAUCUUAGAAAUUAGUUUUCUACAACUUGAAAAAAUAAAUUAAACUUGAAAUGACUAAUAAAAGUUCAUAAUUUGGGAUUUCCCUUUUAUCAAUGGGUUUGUUUGGAUUCAUUGUUUUUGGGUCUGUUUUUGAAAAACUGUUUUUCACAUUCCAAAUGCUACAGUAAUGUGUAUUUCAAAAACAACUCCAAAAACACUAUAUCCAAACAAUAUAUCAAAAACAACUCCAAAUACAUAUUUAAUAUGUUUAUUUCAAUUUGUAUAUUUCAAUUAUGUAUAGGUAAUAUAUAUUAUAUUAAUUUAUAUUUUAUUUUAUAUAAAAUAUAUUUUUAUAUUUCUAUAAUAUAUUUAUACAAAUAUCAAAUAUUAUUAUAUAUAUAUAAUAUUAUAUAUGUAAUUAUACAAAUUUAUGAAUAUUAAAUAUUAAAAAUUAUAUAUUUAAUAUAUACAUAAUAUAUAUGUUUAUGUAUAUUAUAAUAUGCAUUUAUAUUAUGUAUUAUAUAUAAUAUUAUACAUUUAUACAUUUAUAUUAAUUUACAUAAUAUUAAUUAUACAUUUAUACAUGAUAUUAAUACCUUUAUACAUUUAUAUAUAUUAUAUUAAUACACCUAUACAUAAUAUUAAUAUAUAUUUAUAAUAUAUUAAUUUAUACAUUUAUAAUUUAUACACAUUUAUAAUAACAAAAUUUAUACAUUUAUAAAUACAUUUAUAUUAUAUUAUAUAUAAUAUAAAUGCAUUUAUAAAUACAUAAAUGCAUUUCUUUAUAAAUAUAUAUAAAUGUAUUAUAAAUACAUAAAUGUAUAUAAAUAUAUAAAUAUAAACUUUAUAAUUUAUAAUUUAUAAUUUAUACAUUUAUAUAAUAUUCACUUAUAAUUUAUAUAUUUAUAAUAAUAUACAUUUAUAUAUAAAUAUAUAUAAAUAUUUAUUUAUAAAUAUAUGUAAAUAUUUAUUCAUAAAUAUAUGUAAAUAUUCAUUUAUAAAUAUUUAUAAAUAUAUGUAAAUAUUUAUUUAUAAAUAUAUGUAAAUAUUAAUUUAAAAAUAUAUAUAAAUAUUUAUAUAUACAUAUAUAUAAAUAUUCAUUUAUAAAUAUUUAUACAGGUAUUUACAAAAUUAUAUAAAUAUAUUUAUAAAUAAAUAUAAAAAUAUAAAAUUUAUAAUUUAUACAUUUAUAUAAUAUUCAUUUACACAUUUAUAAAAAUAUUUAUAUUAUGUAUUAUAUAUAAUAUAAUACAUUUAUAAUACAUUUACUUAUAUUUAUAUAAAUAUAUAUAUAUAUAUUUAUAAAUAUUUAUAAAUGUAUUAUAAAUGCAUAAAUGUAUAUAUAAAAAUAUAUAAAUUAUAAAUUAUAAUUCUUACAUUUAUAUGAUAUUCAUUUAUAAUUUAUAUAUUUAUAAAUGUAUUUAUAUUAUGUAUUAUAUAUAAUAUAAUACAUUUAUAUUAUUUAUAAAUAUAUAAAUUUAUUUAUUUAUAAAUAUUUAUAAAUGUAUUAUAAAUGCAUAAAUGUAUAUAAAUAUAAUAAUAUAAAAAUUGGAAAUUAUAAUUUAUACAUUUAUGUGAUAUUCAUUUAUAAUUUAUACCUUUAUAAUUUAUAUAUUUUAUAUAAAUAUAUUAAUAUAUUUAUUUAUAAAUAUUUAUAAAUGUAUUAUAAAUGCAUAAAUAUAUAUUGUUAUAAAAAUAUAAAAAUUAUAAAUUAUAAAAAUACUGAAAAUAUGUUUUAAAAAUACAUCUAAAAAUAAUCCAUAAAACAUAUACAGUAAAAGUUUUUCAUAUAGUUUUUGAAAAACAACCCCAAAAAUAACUAAUCCAAACGGACUUGUAUUUGAAAAACGAAAUGCUACAGUGCUUUUUGAAAAACAACCCCAAAAACAGCUAAUCCAAACGGACCCAAUACUCUUAACAAAAAACAUUAACUAUUUUAAUCCCUAAUUCGUAGGUUUCGGCUAAUGUAGUUCCUUUUUAUGAUUUAUUAUGAUCGACAUCUACCAAUAUUAAUCCCUUAUCUUUUAUCAAAAGUGACCAAUAAACUUUGAGAAAACUAAUGGAUAAGUCACACGUGUAUGAUCGAAACAACAAAUAGAUGAUCAAUUUGGCGUCAUUAUGAAGAUUUUAAAUGUUGUGACAGUGGGUCUGUUUGGAUAAAGUAGUAUUAUUUGAAAUAAUUAUUGUAUCAUUUUUUAUGCGCGAUUGAUAGUCUCGAGAUCGGGCGGUUUCGAUUUUCCAAGAGGCCAAGUAUGGCCACGCAAUAGAUCGACAGAUGUCAUAGACUUUUUCCCUGUAUUUUUCACUUAUUAUUAAUAAAGUUUUAUUUUUAUUUUUUAAAAAAUAUAAUAUAUAUAAGAUAAAAAGGUGAUUGAAAAUAUAAAAAAAAAUUUAAAAAUAUAUUUACGAUAUAAGCGAAAUAUUAUUUAAAAAAAUAAGAUAUUCAAACAAAUCUAGUAUAAAAAUAUGUAACUAACAGAAGUACCCAAGGGUGUUUUUUUUGGGUUUGUUUUUAUUUCGUAUAAAACUAGUAAAAUCUCUGAGUCACAACCGUCUGCAUAAUAUGCAUUAAAGAUACGCUCAUUGGUACUGCACACAUGUUGCAAUUGAGAAACAAAGAAGAUUGAAACCAGUUUAUAGUUUGUACGCUAAAAAGAAAAUCCCAUUCGGUCAACAAAAAGUAACCCCCAGAGUAUCAUGUUGAAAUCUCAUCUCAUCAACACUUGCAACAGUAUCGAGAGAGAGAGAGAGAGAAGAGAGUUACAGCCGGCAGAUAUUAAUUAACAGACAGACACCCAUAAUGCCAAAGUCGAAUACAGAACAAUUGUAAAUUUUUUUCAGUUUUUGUUUUUUGUGAGAGACAGUAGUAGUAAUUGUAGAAGUUACUACUAGUACGAAAAGGUUUUGACCAAGACCCCCAGCAUGGUCAUCCACCGUUACAGAAGAAGGAAAAGAAGUUGAUCAAAGAAAAAGGGAAAGAAAGAAAGAAAGAAAGAAAGAAAGAAAGAAGGAAAGAGAGGAAGAAAGAAAGAAAGAAAGAAAGAGAGAAAGAAAAGAAGCCGUCCAUUCCAUGCAGAGGGGCAAAUUGCCAAAGUGCAAAAACAACAAAAGCGAGAACAAAGCCAAUCCUGUCUUUUGAAGUGUCUUCGCAGAGUCCAUUUAUCGAAACACUCAUACAAAAAACUGUGAGUUAUGAAAGGGAGAACAAAGCCAAUCCCUUUGUCAUCAUUGAACCAAUAGCCAUCCUCUGACACAAGUCAUCAUUGAACAUCUGCAGCUAUAUUACCAUUACACACUCUCUCCCUCCCUCACUCUCCCGCCCCCCUCCUGUCACACAUCUGCAUCAUCACACUAGCAAGUAGGUAUAGGAGCACUAGUAUUCAUAUGUAGCUUCUGACCUAUUGUUUUGCCUCAUCUGUAAUUGCACUCUGUCCAUUGGGAAAAAGAAAAAGCUGUAACCCUUCUGCUCUGAUACAAAAGUAAGACCAGCCCAUAUCUCUUCUUUCUGUCCCCUCCUUUGUUCCUUUGGGAGUUCUCUAAUUAAGACCCCCUCUAAAGCGUCAAAGUUCUUCUAAGGAGUUGACACUUGAAAGGCAGAAAAAGCAGAGAAAGUAGAAACAGAAAAAUGGGUGAGAAAGAUGAUGGUUUGAGGUUGAGUUUGAGCUUGGGAUGUGGAGAUGAUGAAAAGCGGGAGAAGAUAAGUCAAUCUCCUCAACCUUUCCCGUUGAAACUCAUGAGGUCUACUUUGCCUUUCGUGCAACAACAGAACCAGCAGCAGCUGCUGCUGCUGCAAAAGUCCUCCUUUCUUGCUGAUGCGUUUCCAUCAUCUUCUGGUAGGUUUCCUCUUUCCAAAAUUGUAUCUUUCCUUUUUCAGUUACUUGUGUAAGAUUUUGGUCAUGUCCGUUUAUUUUUUCCUCUUGAUCUUUGACCAAAUCUGAGCAUGUUUGGCGUUUUAUUGCAAAGUAACACGUUCAUUCUUCUUUUUUUUUUGACAAUUUCAAGAAAUUGUUACCAGUUUACGCUAACACGGUAAAAGAACAAAAAUUGAAAUGUUUGUUUAAUGAAAUGGCUGUGUUAUUCUAGCAUAUUUUAAACUGUGAAAGGCUCAUAAUGAUUUUUCUGUUACAUCAUUUGGUAAAUUCGUUAAAGCUUCCAUUUUUGUUUGAGAGAGAAUGAAAAACAAGGCAACUGUUAGCUCAAACUGAUCUCUGUUUCCGUGCUGUAAAACUGUUUUUUCCUUUUCAUUUUUCCCUCCCAUCUUCUCUGAUAAUAAAUGAGUUUCUUUCUUGAUUUGUAUUUAUAGAAAGAAAUGCUGCUGAGCCCAGAUCAUCUCUUCGAGGAAUUGAUGUAAAUCGACCAGCAACAGUGAUAGACUGUGAUGAAGAAGUCAUGGUGUCAUCACCAAACAGUACGGUGUCAAGCGUGAGUGGGAAGAGAAGCGAGAGAAGAAAAUGAGGCAGAAAGGGUUCAAGUUCUCUGGAGGAUGACGGUGGCGACGCGGCGAGAAAGAAGUUGAGGCUAUCCAAGGAACAAGCAGCUCUUCUUGAAGAGACCUUCAAGGAGCACAACACUCUAAAUCCGGUUAGUGGCAGUUUUGGUAAAUUUUUGGUGAUUUGGAGGUUUUUUUCUCGAUAGGAGUUGUUUGUUUUGUACUCAUGCUGAGUUGGUGUUUUGUACUAUGUUUACUUGUUGUGCAGAAGCAAAAAUUGGCCUUAGCCAAACAGCUAAACCUGAGGCCUAGACAGGUGGAGGUCUGGUUUCAGAAUAGAAGGGCAAGGUAAGUCGGUACUUGUGUGUCUCUGGUUUCAGUAACAUUUAACCAGCGUGGUGAUAUAUUUAGCACAAAUAUAUCUGUAUUGAACUUUCUUUGAAGAAGAACCAAAUACUGACUUUACCGAUAACAGGAUGCUGAAUCUUGAGCCAUAGACAACCAGAUUUAUGUUUCAAAGCAGAAGGGAAGUCUAUCCAUAUGGCAUUAUCCAUGCUAUUAUAAGAACAAUUUAUAGUAAUCUUAGGUGCUCUUUGAAGGUCAACUUAGAAUAGAGUACCACAUAUCAUACCAUUGGAUAUAGUAUUCGCUGAAACAAAACAGCUCAGUCUAAAGCUAAAGAUGUACAUGACUUAUUAGAAAUACAAGAGCAAGCUGGGCUUUCCGCUGAUGCAAGUCUACUCUUGGUAUCAUUUGGCAAAGACAUUACUCGCUUGGAAAUCCUUUUAGUGAAAUCAACUUAGGGUACAACAUAUACAUGUUUCGGAAAACUUCUGAGAGAAUCCACUAUCCAUUGAAUCAACUGUUUUUGUAGGAGGAGGCAAGGUGGAAAUUUUAGCUAAUUGUUGCUAAGUUGUUAUUGAUACUUUGGAAAGGGUAUUAUUUGCCAGCAAAUGUUUGAGACACACAUGCCUUGCACAGUUUCUACAAGAUGUUAUAGCAACUCUUUAAAGAUGGAGCUAUGUGGCAUUUGUUGAUCUUUUAACAGAUUUAAUGAAGUGCAAAGGAUUGUAAUUUACUUGAGUUGGUCGUUUACUAGGAUUUCCAAAUAGUAAUGGUGUGGCGAGGACAGACUAGUAGCAAAGAAGUAAAUUUCAUGACUUUUUUCUUUUAAUCUCAAUUUCAGAUAUAAAAAUUACUCAUUGGAUCGAUUUUGUGUAAAACCAGACUGGUCAUUGCAUUCUCAAACUUGAGUUGUAUGGGGGUAACAGACUUGUUGCACUUCCAUCAAAAUGGCUUAUUCAGCACUUAAAUUCGUAAAUUGCCAAAAAGCUUAGAUAUUCUGUUAUCUAUUAUUUCUUUGUGUUGCGUUAGCCUAAAACUUAUGAUGAUGAUGGAUUAGGAAAGGAAGUAGACAUUUAAUUUUCAUAUCAAAGUAACAGGUAGUUGGUGGCCAUUUUCAAUGGAAGUCUAGAGUCUAAAUGCUAGCCAUAGAUGUCACUGUGGUUCAGCAUUGUUGAUCUUUCUAUGACCAACCUUUUUGAAGUAUGAAUAGAACGUUUUCAUGCUGCAGGACAAAGUUGAAGCAGACCGAAGUUGACUGUGAGUACUUGAAACGUUGUUGUGAAAAUCUGACAGAGGAAAACAGGAGAUUGCAGAAGGAGGUGAACGAACUCAGAGCACUCAAGCUUUCUCCACAGUUCUAUAUGAACAUGAAUCCCCCGACCACCCUUACUAUGUGCCCUCAGUGUGAGAGAGUGGCCGUCUCAGCAUCUUCAUCGUCCUCAGCUGCAGCAUCAACAUCACUAGCUGCGACAAGCACUGGCAUCCCUCGUCAACAGAACCCACUGACCGCUGCAAAGCAACAUUCAAUGCCAAAGAAUCCUUGGGCUGCAAUCUUCCCCAAUCAAUCGCAUGGUGUCCGCCAGCCCCGGUCAUAAAUUUCCUUAAAAAGUUCAUCAUGUUCGUGGAAAGAUGGAUAGCAGGAUAGGUGUAGCGCAAGAAAAUGGCAGGAGCAGCGGAAGAAGUUCAGCUUUUGCUUCGAGAAGAUAGAUUCGUAAAGGGUAACAGGUGGUCCAUCUGUGGGGAGAGCUUUGUCCAUAAAACGGAGAGUAGAUCAGUUGGGAUAAAAAGAAGAGAAUUCGAGUAUCUUCGUUUUUGUUUAUCAAAUGACAAAUGAUUAAAUUUAGAUCCAAGUGUGGUUAAUGUCGGAAAUGAAGGGAACAUUGUUGUUCUAGUGUUUUAUUAGUUUCCAAUGUAAGAUAUUAUUGUUAGUCAUGAUGACCUACGUACUUCUCUUGUAUAGAUUAAUUCCAGGGAAAUAUAGUUAGGUGGUGUAUAAACAAUACACUAACGUCAAUCAAAAGUCAUCAUCAAGGAUUAUGGUGGGCCAUUAUUUGUUUAGUAGAUAGGAGAUAAAGAAACGACUCGCUAUCAUUGUAUUGUUUAGUGAUAAAUGAUUGAUAUUAGUGUAUCACCUAAUAUAUCAUAUGAUGUAUUCAAUUUCUUUUCGUCAUUUCAACUUUCUUGAAUCUUCUACUAGUCUACUUCCAAAAACAGAGCAUAUGUUUGUUUGUUGAUAAAUGAUUGAUACUAAUUCACCAUCUAACACACCACAUGAUGCAUUCAGUUCCUUUUCGCGCUCCAGCAAGUCCAACAGAUUAUAUUGUAAGCAAAUAUUCAGAGAGAGGCAAAAGUGGUAGAAAGUUGAAACCUUUGGAGACGUUUCAGUUGAUAUAUUGGUAAAGGUCAAUUCAGAAAAGGGCAAAUGAAUAGCGGGCCCAAAUAGCAUAGGAAACCAUUUCCUUUAGCACAGUUUGACGUGCAAGCUAAAAGAAAGGAUUGAAAUUUAAGGACAAGAAGCACACGCACCUCGUAACUAUUUCUUGAAGUGUAGCAAUCACACUUUUUCUUUUUGCGAAUAAUCCAUGGAUGUAGAAAGAUCGUUCUUCUAUGCACUCACUCUCGAUGACCAACUUGCCUUUGAUAAAUUAGCCACCAAGAAAGGAUUUAAAAUCCCUUUUAAGCUGUACUUUGACCUUUGAAUGUUCAAAUUCCCGUACCUCCAGUUAAAAAAAUCCACAGAAAGUGUAACAGUAUAAAUUUCUUGUCUACAUAAGUCGUGUACAUCUUUAACCUGGGUUGGAUGUGGGUUCUUUAAUCUGGGUUUAAGGUCCAUAGGAGUCUCGUCCUGUCACUAAUUGGCUGGAUGUGAAUUUCUUGUGGGUCUCCCUUAGAUUACUCUUAACUGGGUUCUUUAGCCGUUAACCUCCUGAGUGUUUCUAAUCUAAUUGGGUGUGUGUGUUUCUAUCUCUUGACAGAAAAAAACCAUUCGUUGGUGAGGGUGUGCUCGGGGGGAGGGGCAUCCCUCCCACAUCGGUUGGAUGUGGAUUUUUUAACCUGAGUUUAAGGUCCAUAGGAGCCUCGUCCUGUCACCAAUUGGCUGGACGUAGGUUUUUUGUGGGUCCCCCUUAGAUUACUCUUAACUGGGUCCUUUAGCCGUUAACUUCUUGAGUGUUUCUAAUCUAAUUGGAUGUGUGUGUUUCAAUCUCUUUGACAGCAAAAUCCACUCUUAAGAACUUCAAACUUUACACACACAGCGACAGCAACCAAGAAUAAGUCCAACAAGAUAAUAAUAAAGAUUAGCCCUUGCUAGGUUGUCUUGGUUGUCAGGUAGCUAGAAAGUAUCGGAAUAGUAUGUCUAGCUUCAUUCUCAGACAAGUACAGAUUAGAGGCUCGGCCAAAAAUCCUGCAGUUAUCUCUUAGGGAGCGAAUUUGCCCGGUACCAUAAUAACAUACGCUAGUUAUGCAGCUGUCGUCAAUGUCUUCUUGGAGAACUUCUCAUGCUUUUGACAGUGUCCUCCAUAUUAUUUAAUGUAUGUGUCUUAGUAAUGGCUGCUGGCGCAUGGAUAAAGAGUUAAAGAGGAGCGCGGAUAAAGAGUCCAUCCAACAGGAAACCAGCACUAAACAAAUCUCAAACCACCACUCCAAGUUUCAGGCUUUCAGCUCUCCACGGUUGAGUCGGUUCAGCCCCUUAAUCCGUGGUUGUAAAUGUAGGGAUCGACCCUCAUGCAAGACCCGCUCCCCAAAACCCCGACUAAUUAGGCAGCGAAGAAAGAAGCUUCACAGUCGAAAAUGCAAGACCUUAAGCAGGAGCGUUUCUUUAUCAUGUUUUCUUUUGUUUGAGGCGGUACAAGAUGGUGAAAUCAAUAACUCUCAUCAUUCAUAAGUAACAGUGCUGGCUCUACUAUACAAAUGAUUACCAUUCAAUCAUCUAAAUAAUGAGCAAGAAGAGAUUAUCAGUUAAUCAAACAGUAUUUACAGUAUCUGCAAGAGAACGCAGUAUGCAACCCAAGCCAGCUUUUUCUGUCAACUUCUCAUGAAUCCUCAAACACUGGUCGCAUGUUGGACGGUCACCAGUGGACAAGCCUCUGUAAAGAUACCUGAAAAUAAUAGUGCAGUCAAUGAUUGUCAAAACGAUAGCAAAAAUUUACAAGUGCCACACCACUGGGGAGAUGGACAAAGCACCAACUAGGCAAAAGGAUUUCCCUGCUUACAUUUGUUCUCUCUACCAUCUUUAACUGGUAAGAUGUUUCCAAAGAUUUCUUGAUAGUAUUUUGAGAACUGGUUAAGGAUCCCUUUACAUGUCCUGGUAGCUUAAGACAUAUUCCUAGUUCACAAAACCAAAAAGCCAUAGUAUUUUUCUUUUUUUUUUAAAAAGCCACAGUAUUCGUUACAUGUGAACAACUUAAUUCUAAUUUGAAAGGAGACCACAGAAGAGACCCGACGUACAACCUGGAGUCCAACUGUAACCUAAAAGCUUAUGCCUUAGGUUUCAAACUCAGGCACUAAGCAGUCCAUUUGAUUUUCUCAAACUACAGUGUAACAAUUCCAACCAGCCAAUAGACCUAACACGGGUAGACCCUCCUAUUGAAAACAAUCCCCCUCCCCUCUCAAGUUCAAGUUAGCAGUCAAUGCAAGCCUACUUCUUCUUCAUCUAACACAAAUAGAUCCCCAACCUCUUCAUCAGACCAAUACAAAUAGACCCGUGGUCAAUGGUCUACGCCAAAGAGGACAAAUGAUCUAAACCAAGGAAAGAUAACUGCUAACCCAUAACCCAAUAUCAUAAACACAGCUCUGGCAUUAGCUUGUCAAGAACAGACUUCUGAAAAUUUGCCAGAUCUUCUUUAUUUUAUUUUUUCUAAAAGAAUUUGACAAAGUCACUUGACAGCCCACGCAGAAAUAUGGAGAAGAAUAUAAAAGAAAGUGAGUGGUUAGGUCAAUCAAAAGGUGAAGGAGGAAAAAAAUCUUCGGUCCUAGGAAGAAAAAUACAAAGCUUAAAAGAAAUCUCCAAAAGCUGAGUCAACAGUAGGUCAGACAGCAUUACCUACUAAGAAAGGAGAGUAGUAACAAAAAUUACGAAAACCUGAGAUAUAAAAAUAGCUGCGUUUGACCCAAUUUGAGCUUACUCUAUUUUUCAUGUAGAUUGAAGCCUUCUCUAAGGCCAAUCUUAUAGUUGAAACUCAGCUGAAACUUGUAGGUUAUAGGAAUUCAAUUGCAGCUGAAAUUUGACAACAGAAAUCCAGGGUCGGAAGCUUGUAAAAUUCAUUCCAAAUAAGUGGGCUAGGAUGGCAAGCCACCUUCACCUCUUACACAACUCCUCAGCUAACAAAUCUCCAACUUGGCUUGCAUGCAACAUACAAAACAAUGAUAGACUGUUCUACAAGCCUUUUGCCUAAUCUUGAGCAACUUCUGCCAAAACCUCAUAGGAGACAUAUAAUACGAUACUUGAAUGAGCUUUCUCAUCUAUGUCAACAAGUUCCUUACCAAUCAUUUAAGUUGAUAAUUUCUCCAUUGUCGACAAAGCCUUCCAUCCAAAUUCAGUCGGGAUUGCUUCCAUUUUGAACUAUCAUAGUCUCAAUUUGGCACUUAGGUUAAACUACUGAAUAGGACUUUGUUAUUGUCAUAGCGGUUGCUGGUACUUAACCUAGGUUUCAUGGUUCUGAUAGCAGUUGCCAUUCCAGCAAUCCCAUCAGCAGCAACAUUAGCCUCAGCAAAUUCAUUAUUUUAUAAUCUUUCUUCUCUAUACAUUCUCUUCAUUUCCAACUUAAAAGGAAUUAGAUUUAAUACGCCCUCUUCUUGUGACAUAAUUGCAAAACCAAUUCUUAUAUACAGAUUUUGAUUCAGGUUUUUAUUUUUUAUUUUCUCAACCUCUUUUUCCACUACCCCCUAAAAAAUGAGCUGUUCAACUGAUAUUAACUCGUUUCACCAAUACCAUCCCUUUUCUAGCUAAAGGCUUGUGGAGAAGACACAGCAAGUAUUCCAUCUUUUUUUUUUCUUCAAAAAUCAGAUACAAGCCAAGGUGGAGAAUUGUCAGGUGAAGAGCUGUGUUGGUCAGUGGCAGGUGGAGUUCCAUUCUAUACCAUGACUCUUGCAGAUCUUCCUCAAACUUUGCCGCAAAUGAUUUGAUAUUCUGAACGAAUUUUAGUCAAGGUCAGCUAUAAAUAGCGCCUUAUGAAGGCCUCAAUCUACACAAAAAACAUAGAAAGUUCAAACUGGUACAAGUUCACACUUCAAUAUUUUUGAGUUUUCUCAUGUUUUGCUCUCUUUUUUUUUGGCUUUUGGAGAAUUUUUCCAAGCUUUAUGUUCUUCUUCAUAGUAGUGAUGUUUCAUCCUUCACCCAUGGACAUAGGUCUCAUUGACUGAAUAACAAAAAUCUUAUUGCCUCACUCUCUUUUCCAUACUUUUUUAUUGUCCAUUCAGUUUGUCAAUUAUCCGAACUUUGUUGCUAACAAAAUUACUUGCACAUAGAACAUGAAGGUGAAGAGAUUGGUAACCAAAACCAAUCACCAACGGAAAAAAGAUGUCCAACUAAACUCUGAAUAGUAACCAGCUAACUGAAACUCUGCCUCAUAUAACAAGUGAUAGAUAAUAUUCCAAGGUAAUUUCGUCCAAUGCUGAGAAUCCACAAUCGAUAUGCAACACUUAGUAAUCAUGUGGAGAACAUAUAUAGUUUCCGACAUCAGUAUCCAAAGAGGUCAUCCUAUUGAAUAUUAACAUCUUGUUUUGAGGUUGAAUUUGGUAUUAACACCAUUUGUAACAAGGUGUGAAUCUUCUACAAGUUCAGCAAGCAUUAUUUAUCAAGUCUUCUGGUACUUGAAAUGGUAAUUAACAAAGAUACAUAUGAAAUACUCUCAAGCGCUAGACUUUCCAGAUUCAGAAAAUUAUCACGUCCAUCAUGAAAAAUUGAUCGUGAAGUUCCAAUUACACUUCGAAUCAGUUAAACAUGAUACCACGUCCUAAAUCAACAUCAAAGGUACACAAAGAAAAAACAGCAAGGUUGAAUCUUUUGUAUAAAUUGCAGUAACAAGGAAGUUAGGGUCAGAGAGUUUUUCACAAAGGGAAAGAAAAGGUGAUUACUUCAUGAGAAUAUCAUAAUACUCGGAUCCAAGGCAAAGAACAAGCUUUCAACAUCUUUGAUUGCCAUUAUUGCCCUGUGCACCACUAUCCAGUUCGCAGACUACAAAUUCAACAAAGCUCAUUCAUGAAAUACGACUCAAUAUCAGAUCAAGAAAAAUGAAAAAAAAUCCGAAAAAUACAGUCAAAUAAAGAAAAUUCCCAAGAGAAUACAGCUGAAGAUAGAACUGGAAUCGUGAUUACUGACCUUACACCUCUCAUCUUUGGUCUUCGGAGGGGACCCUUCAAGAGCUGUCUUGAGUGCUUCCACUGGUUUAUUCCUACCAAUCAGAAAAAUAAGAACAAAAAAAAAUGUUGGUUUAGAAAGAUCAAAUUUUUAGUAUUUGUGAGGAUAAAUGAAAAGGGGGAUUGAUACUGCUUGAGUAAGCUCUCGAUUUUGCGGGACUUGUGCUCGAUUCUGGCGAUGAUGGCUUCAGCAUUAUCCGCUUCCACAUGCUCAGACGCCAUGUUUUAAAUCCCCUUGGAUCUCUCUCAGUCAGACACAGACUGUGAGAAAGGAGAGAGUGAAAUUCAAGGAAAGUGGGAUCGGGCCUCGAAAGAGGAUUGAUAUAUUAGUUUUCACCGCAUAAAUUAAUGGGAAAAUCGUCCAAAACAUCCAUCAUAUUUUGUAAAAUAACUUUUUUCGUCCUUACUUUUAAAAGUAUAAUUUUAUGUCUCUUACAUAUUCACAUCAGUCAAAUUUAGUCCCUAACUAGAUUUUCGAUCAUUUUUUUGCUGGAUUCCAUCACGUGCAAGGCACGUGAUCAUUUUUGAGGGGUAAAUUUGUCAAAUUAUAUUUUGCCAUAAUUUAAUUUAUUGUCCCUCACAUUUCAUAAAAUAAAUUUUUUCAUCCCUUACAUUUUAUAAAAUGAUUUUUUCAUCCCUCAUAUUUCAUAAUAUGAAUUUCUCCAUCUCUCACAUUUCAAAAAAUGAAUAAUUGUUAAUAUGGCUAUAGCUUGUUAUAGGUAGGACAUUAACAAUUGUUUAUGUAAUUGGGCUCGGCAUAUUGGCUAUCUUCUCUUUUUGUAUGAUUGUGACUAAUAUUUACCAAUAGAACCUUAAUUUGCAUAUUCUUAUUGUAUUUUGAUAGAAAAUACUUUAUUGGCCAACUGGACAAUGAAUGCAAAAUUUUUUACUAAGCUAAUAUCAAAUGAAAUCAAAUGAUCGCAUAUAAUAUAUGUUAUUUAUAUUGUUAAGUGAAAUCAAAUAGACACAUACAUGUGUUUAUGCUAUUGUAUUAUUAAGCGAAAUCAAUAAACAUAUGCAUGUGUUUAAAAAAAUGUAUUACACACAUAAUUAGUGAGGAAUGACAAAUUUAUUUUUUGAAAUGUGAGGGAUGGAGAAAAUCAUAUUGUGAAAUAUGAGGGAUGAAAAGUCAUUUAUAAAAUGUGAGGGACGAAAAAUUUUAUUUUAUGAAAUGUGGGGGACUAUAGAUUAGAUUAUGUAAAAUAUAAUUUGACAAAUUUACCCAUAAAAAAUGAUCACGUGCCUUGCUGGUGAUGAAUCCGGCAAAAAAAUGAUCGGAAACCUAGUUUAGGGACUAAAUUUGACCGAUGUGAAUAUGUAAGGGACGUAAAAUUAUAUUUUUAAAAGUGAGGGACGAAAAAAGUUAUUUUACAAAAUGUGAGGGACGUUUUGGACGAAUUUCCCUAAAUUAAUUGUCAAGAAAAGUGAUGGACGAAAAUAAUAAUAUUUUUAUGGAAUAAAUUAAAUUUUAAAAAAAGUGAGGAACAAAAGAAUAUUUUUAUGAAAUGUACGAGAUGAAAUUAAUCAUUUUUCUUACAACAAAGGUUAACCUUUUGCUAAAAAUGAAUGCACACAACCAAUCGUGCACUGCCCACAUUUCGUGAGCUUGAAUGGUGAACCUGAAUAUUAGUAGUAUUAGUUUUUUUUUAAUCUCAAAACGAAACAAUUCAUUUUGUGAAAUGUCAAAGACGAAAAAAUUUAUUUUGUGAAAUAUAAGAGAUUAUAGAUUGGAUUAUGUAAAUUUUAAUUUGAUAAUUUUACUCUUAAAAAAUGAUCACGUGUACGUGAUGGAUUCCGACAAAAACUAGUCGAAAACUUAAGUACGAAUCAAAUUUAACCAAUGUAAAUUUGUAUGGGACGUAAAAGUACACUUUUAAAAGUGAGGGAUGAAAAAAGUCAUUUUGUAAAAUAUGAAAGACGUUUUGAACGAUUUUUCCUUUUCUUUUUUCUUCUUUUUGUGACAAAAUUAAAAGUUAGAAUAGUAUUAAACGGGUCGUGAACCCAUAAUUCAUAAUUGUAUAAAGAUGCUUCCCACUGAUUGUCUCACAUUCACGAGAAGGAGAAUUAAAUUGGAUGGUAAGACGAGAGAGAUUGUAUAUAGGAUAUCUUCAAUUCAAAAUCUUCCACUUAUCUUAAAAUAAAAAGAAACAAAAAAGCUAAUAUGCUGCACCGACCAUAUGCUGAAAAGUUUCUCAGCUGAGUCGGUCAUAGAAUUAGUGUGCUUCCAACAUGAUUCCAAUUUGCAUGCACCUGUUAAGCAAUGCACUCCUCAUUGAAUGAAAUAACACAACCUGUUAUCUGAGUCAAAAACUUUAUCAAACAACAAUUUUAUUGUGAAAAUUCGAUGCUUUUGCUACGCUAGUUUUUCCAUUUUUCUGUCUAUUGGUCACUAAUAUGUGCUGUGCUCUCCCAGUGAUUUUGUAGUCUGGAGCAGUAGAAAGAAAUUUCCAUAUAACAAGACAACAGCACCAAUUAGUCAAUUACUACUGUGGAAAGAAUUGGUCCUUCCUCCUGCCAACAAACGAAUGUACUAAUAUGCAUGCAGUUUUUUCUUCUAAAAAUAUGACAGUAGUGAAUGGCGUACUACAUCUUAUCUUAGCCAAUUAAAUACAGCUGCAUCAUGUGCCUUCGAAAGUCGUAACAGCAUAUUUAUUUAUGGCAAAAGAAGAAAUUCAAUCGGCGGAGACAAACGGUAAAGUAAUGACCCACUUUUGAAUUCUGACUGCCCUCUGUUCAUGACUCACAACCCUUUUCUACGUUUUCCCUCACUCAUCAGAACUCACACAAGGCACACUCCCCUUUUAGUGCCUUACCUUUACCAUUUCUUGAUUACCCAAAUGUUCCUUUCUUGUUCUUCACCUAACCGCACAGGUUCUUUCUUCCCCUGUCCUCAACAAUGGCAGCUUCUCCAGCCUUAUUCAGGAAUCCCCAUUGCCGAGUUCCGCAUCAAAAACCUGCAAGUAAGUCUUACUCAGACUUGUUCUGUAAGUCCCUGAUCGUUAUUCUUGUUCUUCUUGUUAUACCCUUGUUUCCUGCACAAGCUCCUGAUUUUAUUAGCCAAUCUAUAUUGAGUAAGUUCUGGGAACUUUUUCACCUUCUGGUUAUUGGGAUUGCUGUUUCUUAUGGCUUGUUCUGUAGAAAUGUACCAAUAUUGAGGUCGAUAAUCAGCCUAGAAAUGAUUAUAGUCCUCAUGCAUAUUUCCCCGGGGUAAUGAAUGUAUCUUCAUUUUUUGAGGAUGGGUGUGAAGAUAUGUGCAACUCCGAUGAGACAAAGAGUACCCAAAAUUGGGAUUUUAUGUACUUGAAAAAUGAAUCAAUGAGUAAAGCAAGGCCUUCAGUAGAUGAUGGUAAAAAGAUUAGAUCUUUGAAGUUUGGAAACGGCGUUAAGUACAUUUAUGAGCCUGAUAAGGAAAACGUUGGCCAUAUUUGGAAUUCUCAGUAUUUUCAAGGGAAAAUUUGGUGGUUGUGGCUGAUGGGAACUAUGCUUCUGAUGAACAUAAACCCUUAGGUCUUCCUGUCAGGAGCCUUAGGUCAAGUAUUGGUGAUGCUGAGAAAACUGAGUUUGGCCCGAGUAAUGCAUCAUCUACGAGUUUGAAGGAUUCUUUCGGUGAUUAUACUAAGGGUAAGGUUCAGAAAUUCAGAAGUCCGGUUACUAUUAAUUUGGAGGAGGAGUUUGAUGAAGUCGCUGGACCUUCCACCAUCCGCUGGCAGUCAAGAUCUGAUAGGAUGAAAUGAGAGAAGAAGUUGGUAAUGUUCAACCCCAUGCCAUUGUAGGAAUCACUCUGGUGGGAAUUUUGAGAUUGAGAAUGUUAAGUCAAGGUCAGUCAGGCAUCCGUUAUCUUCAGGAACCAGUUCUGUUUCGCCCCAGCCGUCAAACUGGAAAACUGAAAAUGUGGAGCCAAAAAAAGAUCUCAAGGCUUUCUUGGACAUGUUUUCACGGACAACUGUAGCAUCUGUGGAUGAUGGUGCAUCAGUUCCUACUAAGGCCAGGGGAUUUAGCAUUGGAUCCUCCAGGAGCUGGACAUGCCGACUUCUAAAGGCUACUUUAAUGAUUCUAAUAUAAGUGCAAUGCAAGAUAUGUUGGACAGAGGGAAGAAAGGUAGGGACUCUAUGAAAUCAGAUGCUAAACCUUCAAACUUAGCUAAGGUUCUACAGAGGGGAAGAUCCGUUAGAACAAUCAGAUCUAGUUUAUCUGCUUCUGAUGAACUGAAAACGAAGGAGAAGAAUUCGAGUCAAAUAGAUGACAAUGUUGCACCGAGGAGUGACCAACCUGAAGCACCCAUCUUGGCAAAGAAAGUGAGAGGAGGAGAAACAAAAGAUCCCCCAGUCCACACCAAAAGCACAAUUCCAGGAAGGUGCAUCCUGUGCCAAAGGAGACAUUCUCUGAGUUUCAGAGUGAUGAAAAACAGGACACUGCUGAUAGUGCUUUGCCACUUGAAAGUGACUUGCAGUUGGAGGGUGAGCCUGAAGAUUGUGAAGAAAGUUCAGAUGAUAAGGAAUCAGAAAAUGACCUAGUAGAUAACUCAGGAGCUGAAGGAAGUGAGGUUGAUAGGAAAGCUGAUGAAUUUAUAGCCAAGUUUAGGGAGCAAAUGAGGCUUCAGAAGAUUGCAUCAGUCACAAAGGCAUAGCUGUGGAGCCUAGUAGCAAAGGCUUUGCAACACAAGUGGAGGAAUUAAGAUUAUGGAUAUUUGUAGGCUUCGUUCGUCAAAUCAUGAGUAGCUGCGGCAAUUUAAUGUGACCUGUGGUGCCCAGAUUGGGUUCGCCUGGUGGUUUGCGCCUUAAUCACACUUUGGUGCACAUCAGAUGGCAGUUAAACAGAUAUACGGAAAUUGGUAGUUAGUAGUCUGGGUAAGCUGUAGUCUUGCGCUGCAGCAAGGUAUUUCACACUGAAUAGCAGGAAGCUGUCUUUUUUCAGCUCAUUUUCCAUCUACUUGUUAUUACCCUGUAGUUAAAGCAUAGUGGCAAACCUCAUAUUUGAUCGAUAACCAUUGAUUUCGUUUGUCGGACUAUUUUUGUUGCCCACAUGAUGCCACUAUAUCACCAAAUUUCCCAGCAUCUAAGGUGGUAUGAAAAGUAAAUGUUCUGGGCCAGUGUAAAAGAUACACACAGAAUCCAGUUUGAUUGCAUCUAUGAGAAUUUGAUAGCUAGCUCACCAAACUUAUAUGACUAUCAUUGCUGAGAAAGGUCAAAUCGUGCUUUUCCAUUUGGUUCCAAAUUUUUGAUCUCCUUGUAAAUGCAUAAUGUUUUCUACGAUCAUAUUUGGCCAAGUGAUAAAUUGGGUUUUGAGCUGACAUUGCGUGUAAGAAUUUAGUGUUGCGGCCGUAGCAAUCAUAAUAUUGGAUGAAUGGCUACUGAAAAUCUAAUUUCAGUCACGGCUAAUUUUCUUAUUCAUUAUCAUUUUAUAAGUGCAUUCUACCAAAGUAUAGGCAAGCUUGUCUUGAGAAAAGCUGUGCAAUUGGUUUAUUCAAAGUAUCUAAUUCCGGGUUCAUGCAAGAAAAAGGUUUUGGCUUCUUUUGGGGUAUAUGCAUUCUAACAUGCUAAACCAAUUACAAGGAGGCAAGCAGUGAGAGGAUAGUUGGCAUCUCAUGUUUGAUAUAAGCAAGAAAAUUUCUUCCACCAAACAAAAACAAGCAGCAAAACAUCCUCGACCUUGAUCACCUGUCACCAACAAUAAACUCAUAAGCUUGCAAAUUCCUCGUUUGGGUUACUAGAACAACUGUUAAAACAUGAGCUGGCUGAAUUGGAGGAGAUUUCUGCAUCAUUUAGUGAUCAAAUGAAACAUCCGACACUGCAAGUUGUCUGUAAGAAUCUCAAAUACAAAGACGUUUUAUGCAUCUCAUGUUUUAUGCAUCAUAAUGCUUACAAGCAUCUUGCAUGGAGAUGUUCAUUGUUUCUGCCCAUGCUGAAUAUGGCCGCAUUUAUUCGUUGCAUUGUUUGGUUAUGUUAUUUGUCUUUUUUGCUUUUUUCAGAAGGGCGGUUGGGAGUGUCGUGUAGCACUGCAUCCCUCUUACAAUAUGGUGGUCCUUUGUCAUCCCGUCUCUUUUUAUCCAUUUUUCCGAAGUUCCCUGCAACAAAUGAACACCUUCAACUACUUAUAGUUCAUUUUCGUGUUUCCAAUUCCGUGAAGCGUAUGAAAUGAGGUCUUUUCCAUCUUAGUUUGGUAGAAUUAGAUUUGUCCUUGUAUUGAGAAGAGAGUUGUCCUAAUGAAUUCUUAUUGAGAAGAGACCUAAGUCCUUCCUUGGAUUGUAGGUGGGGGUUCAAAUCUCACCUGCAGCGAAAAAAUUUUAAGAGUGGUGCCAAAGCAUUUCUUUGGUCUAAUAAGAUCUGUGUACCUGCUAGUCCCUGACACAAGUCUAUUUAAGUUCCCCCUUCCCUCUAAUCUAGGAUAGAAUAGGUUAUACGACAGUUAUCGUCUUAAAAAAAAAUAAUAAUGAAUUCUUUUAUUUGCUUGUUCUUCUACCACUGGAGUUCGUUGACAUUUGAGAGAAAUGUGCUGGAAAUGAGAAAUUCAACAGGGGCUAAGUGAACCCUUUUCUGUUUUCAUUUGAUUGGUUCAUUAUGCAUCGCAGGAUAGUAGAUGAGAAGUGUCUGUUAAUUUCGUUGAUUCAGCCCUUUGUCUGCUGUGUGUUUUGUCACCCCCUUUCUUAGAUAGGAAGUUGAAAAGAUACAACCACAAUGGAACCAAAGUUUUGCAGAAGAUGACUAAAAGACCGAUCCAAAUCAGAUGCCAUCUGCAGAUUUACCAUUAAUAAAGCUUAAGCACGCUUAUGGUGUAAGAGUAAUUGGCCUUUGGGUGUUUUUUAAAUAUUUUAUUGUAACAAUGUAGGUGAAAAACUUU
rnacentral:lncRNA from 1 species